UACGUAGGGUGCAAGCGUUUGUCCGGAAUUAUUGGGCGUAAAGAGCUCGUAGGCGGUUUGUCGCGUCGGCUGUGAAAACUCGGGGCUCAACUCCGAGCUUGCAGUCGAUACGGGCAGGCUAGAGUUCGGCAGGGGAGACUGGAAUUCCUGGUGUAGCGGUGAAAUGCGCAGAUAUCAGGAGGAACACCGGUGGCGAAGGCGGGUCUCUGGGCCGAUACUGACGCUGAGACGCGAAAGCGUGGGGAGCAAACAGG
rnacentral:rRNA from 1 species